rnacentral:lncRNA from 1 species
GAUUUUUCCACAAUUAGAGAGAAACUAAGUAGUGGACAGUAUCCAAACCUUGAAACCUUUGCUCUAGAUGUCAGGCUUGUUUUUGACAACUGUGAAACAUUUAAUGAAGAUGAUUCUGAUAUAGGCAGAGCUGGCCACAAUAUGAGGAAGUAUUUUGAAAAAAAGUGGACAGAUACUUUCAAAGUGAGCUGAAGUUAUAAUAAUCUCUUUAUUUUUUUCCUUCUAAACAAGGACAAAUGAGACCAGCAAUGUGAACUGUAUUUACAUAAACGUGCAAGGCACAUACAUAAUGACUUUCUUUUUCCUUAAGUAUAAAAAAAAAGUAUCAGAAGAAUGAUACCAUUUUUAAAGGCUUCAUUCCUACAACAACCAAGGCCCUCGGUUAUUGGUUUGUGUGAUUUAUCAGCUAAUUUAGGUAGAACAGGGAAGCACACCCAAAGAAUUUUCAAAGGAAAGGGUGUUAUAGUGCAAUAGCAAUUAAAAUAUAUCAAAUCGCACUGAAUACUCAACACCAGAGCUCUAAUGUGGGAAAUGGUUCUCCUUUCCCUCUCAAUAAAUAUCUAUUUUUCAUUUUUUUACUUUGUAGUUUAUUUUUUAGUGAAUGUAUUUAAUUUUAUGAAUUAUUUAUGAUUAAACCACAUCCAGAAUCUUCGUUUUCUGUGAAAAGGAAGAACUAGAAAAUUGCUUUAAAUCUUGAAAAUACAAGGAAUGUUUUAAAAUAUAAAACAAAGCCAAGUUAAACUGUUUACACUGAUGUGCUAUAAAAGCACCAAAAAGAAACUUUACUGUAGAGUUACAAGUACAUUUAUAUAUAUAUGUUGCUGCAUCACUUGUGUAGUUAAAUUGUAUUUCAAAACAGUGAAAAAAUUGACAUGUAUAUACUGUUCAUUCUUGUUUAUAUUAAGUCUUGUUUUAAAUAUGUAUUAUGUGUAUAUAUUGUUUGCAGACAUUAUUGUUCAUGCCUUAGAGGAUUGUAGCAUUUUAUUUUCGUCUGAAGGUAAUGAUAGCUAUACAGUCUGUACAGUAAUUAUCCUCUACCAACACUGUGGCGUCUCCUUAAUCUUGGUAGUGCCUGCCUUUGAAACAGGGUGUAGGGGAUAUUAGUUUUCCAUUUUUCUAUUUUGUUAUAUAAUUUUAAGCCACCAGGGCCUAAAUUAAAGUAUAAUCAUUUGUAUCCAUGUGGAAUAAAAUUGUGACAAUUUCCUACGCACACAGUAUUUUUUCAUAGAAACAUUUCCCUCCCAUUUGCCUUGCCUCAGAAAUAAAUUUAAAAGACGUUUGUAACCACUGUGUUUUAUCUACUGUGUGUUGUGGUGGCCUGUUGGAGGCAAAUAGAUCAGAUUUUUUUUGUACCUACGUAAGAGUACUUGAAGUUUUAUUUAAAAUAAAAUGUUGUGGAAAAGGU